rnacentral:RNase_P_RNA from 1 species
AGAGUUGACUAGGCAGUCGCUGCGAAGUUUUUGAGUUCAAUCGGGAGCGCAUUGGAAAUUUCGCAGAGGAAAGUCCGGGCUCCACAGGGCAGAGUGCCAGGUAAUGCCUGGGGGGCGUGAGUCCACGGAAAGUGCCGCAGAGAGAAGACCGCCAAUGAUCUAUUUCUGAUCAGGUAAGGGUGAAAGGGUGCGGUAAGAGCGCACCGCACUGUUGGUAACAACAGUGGCAGGGUAAACCCCACUUGGAGCAAGACCAAAUAGGUCUCCUUUGACGUUGCCCGCGUUGGAGACGGGUAGGUCGCUAGAGGUAUGCGGUGACGUUUGCCCCAGAUGAAUGACUGUCCACGACAGAACCCGGCUUAUCGGUUGACUCUUUUU